rnacentral:tRNA from 2 species
CGCGGGGUGGAGCAGUGGUAGCUCGUUGGGCUCAUAACCCAAAGGUCGUAGGUUCGAGUCCUGCCCCCGCAA